GUCGGCCUACGGGAGGCAGCAGUAGGGAAUCUUCCACAAUGGACGAAAGUCUGAUGGAGCAACGCCGCGUGAGUGAAGAAGGGUUUCGGCUCGGAAAGCUCUGUUGGUAGUGAAGAAAGAUAGAGGUAGUAACUGGCCUUUAUUUGACGGUAAUUACUUAGAAAGUCACGGCUAACUACGUGCCAGCAGCCGCGGGAAUACGUAGGUGGCAAGCGUUGUCCGGAUUUAUUGGGCGUAAAGCGAGUGCAGGCGGUUCAAUAAGAGUG
rnacentral:rRNA from 1 species